GCCUCGGUAGUGUUAUGGAAGGCACGGCAGGCCGGAUAUCUGUAAGUGCGGGUACGAGUCCCGCCUGACGUU
rnacentral:tRNA from 1 species